AAAAGUAAACAGAAUCUACCCUCAAAUGGCUCCUUAAGCCAGUUGAGGGUAGAUGAAAACAUUACAUGAUCAAAUAAUGUAGGUUGAAGUCAGGUUUUGUAUUUGGUUGGUUAACCAAUAAAUGUUAUAACUACCCGAAAA